GCUCCGUUGGUGAACCAGCGGAGGGAUCAUUACCGAGUUCUUCUACUCCCAAACCCCUGUGAACUUAUACCUUUACUGUUGCUUCGGCGGGUUAACGCCCCGGAAGGCCCAAAAAGCCGCCGGAACCAGGCGCCCGCCGGGGGACCCAAACUCUUGUAUUUCUUACUUUGCAUGUCUGAGUGGAAUCAUAAACAAAUGAAUCAAAACUUUCAACAACGGAUCUCUUGGUUCUG
rnacentral:misc_RNA from 1 species